UUGGUAUUUACCGUGAAACCAAAGAAGGAAUUCAUCUUUUUUUGAUAUCUCUUCUUCUUUCUCACAACGUUUCUCCAAUGGUGGAGGUUGGAGCUGUGUCGGCUGGAGCUUCCGAGGAGAUGCGGUUGGGCGAUGCUGCGGCUUGGAGGCAGCAUAGAGAACGGUGAACGGAGGCAUCGUCUUCGCUAGGAGGGAGCCAGGGCUUGGUAGAUCGAGCAACACCGGAUCCGGUGGUGGCUGGGCGAUUUCGUCGGAGUUCCAACUGCACGAAUGGAGGUGUUUGACUCGCGUGCCUUCGUUGGAGGACGGCUUUAGUGGAGAUCCGGUGAUGAUGGCUUGCAUCGGUGAAAUCCGGUUUGUUCUUCUUCCUGACUCUGCUUCUUCUUUUCCUGUAAAAACAUAAUAUACAAGAGAAACAUUUGAUGACUAAUUAGAAAUGGAGAUGGAAUUUGAGAAAGGAUUUGGUUUUGGGCUGAAACGGGGCGAUUUUGUUCGUCGCUUUCGACGUCAAAGGAAUGUUAUCGCACGGUGCUGGGUCGGUUGGCUGCUUCAAUUUUGAUCCCUUUCUCCUUAUUCUUCUUUGAUUCCCCUGUAUUCAAAACAAUUUGAUUGCAGGCUUGAGUCGAAAAAUCUUCUUUAGUCCGACCAGGGAAUGUCAAGUAAAUUGCGACAACAACACCAUCAUCAUCACAUUGGCGUGAAGAGGCAAUACGCGGUUCAAACUGAUAUAGUUGUCAGCUAGCAUCAAUAUGGGGAGGGACUACUUUCAUUUUUUAUUCCUUAUGCAUCUGCUUGUCGCCUGUCACCUGUAAAUAGUAAAUUGUUAUUGAAUAAAAAUUAUGUCUUUGAAGAUAAUUGUGUGUUGUUAGUCACAUGAUUCAUGGUGAAUUUCAUGGUUGUUAAUGGUUUUAUGGUUCAGGUUAUUUUUAUGUACAAUAAAGUCACAAGUUGAGGAA